CUUUUCUCCCCCAUCUCUUUAUCCAUAACCAGACCAUUAGAAGCCCUCUGUUUCCUUUUGCAUCGGGAAGAAAAAACGGCCUAAAAACUAUAAUAAUAUAACCAAAAAAAAAAACCCGAAAAUUAAAAAGAAGAAAAAUGAAAAAGAAAGAGAGAACAUAAAGCUUCUCCGGUACUUCUAACAGAGCGAGCCCAACGACAUCUGACUUCGCCACCAACAAUCUUGAACGUCUUUCGCCGGGCUCAACUCAAGUUUUGUCUUCAAGCUCAUUGACUUAUGGCGAUUCCGAGACUGAGUUCAACUGUACCGAGUUUGGAUUUUCAUGAAGCUAUCGCCUCCAUUGGAUCCACCUUCGUUUGCCGUUACAAAGUGUUAUAGCUCCUAGUGUUACUUUCUAUUCAAGGUCUAUGCUCAUUGAAAGAGUGAUCUCGCCGUUGAUUUGGUAUAUUUCUUACAGAUCUGAAGCAUUCAAGGUAAUCGACGGCGUUGGUGAUGGCUGUGAACAAAGGUGCUCUCACUAACGGAAACGGAAACGGAAACAGAAUAAAGUUGAGGAAAUAAGUUAUGGUUUGGUGGUAGCUGAGAUAACCGAUAAAAAACGAAGGAGGAAUCCGUUAAGGAAAAACUUUCAAUUUUACUGGAUAAAGUGGAACAAAGCGUUAAUUUUUAAGUCCAAAGUUUAUUAUUUCUUGUAUGUUCAUUUAAUUUUAUAUUUUCCAAACUACCGAAAAUAGAAAGUGAUUAAACUCUGAAAUGUAGAGCAACUCCUUGAUAUUUUGACUGGAAUUUGAAGUUGAUUGAGCUAGGUUACUGGUAAUGAAACUUAUUGGUUUUUUAA